ACGGAGGGUCCAAGCGUUAUCCGGAUUUAUUGGGUUUAAAGGGUCCGUAGGCGGGUCGGUAAGUCAGUGGUGAAAUCCUGCAGCUCAACUGUAGAACUGCCAUUGAUACUGUCGAUCUUGAAUGCGCUUGACGUUGGCGGAAUGUGCCGUGUAGCGGUGAAAUGCUUAGAUAUGGCACAGAACACCGAUCGUGAAGACAGCUAACGAAAGCGUGAUUGACGCUGAGGGACGAAAGCGUGGGGAGCGAACAGG
rnacentral:rRNA from 1 species